UAAGGAAUAUUGGUCAAUGGGCGCAAGCCUGAACCAGCCAUGCCGCGUGAAGGAUGACGGCCCUAUGGGUUGUAAACUUCUUUUGUACGGGAAAAAACCUCUGGUCGUGAAUCAGAGCUGAUGGUACCGUAAGAAUAAGCAUCGGCUAACUCCGUGCCAGCAGCCGCGGUAAUACGGAGGAUGCAAGCGUUAUCCGGAUUCAUUGGGUUGAAAGGGUGCGCAGGCGGAAUAAUAAGUCAGCGGUGAAAGCCUACAGCUUAACUGUAGAACUGCCAUUGAUGCUGUUAUUCUUGAGUGUUGUUGACGUAGGCAGAAUGUGUCAUGUAGCGGUGAAAUGCUUAGAUAUGACACAGAACACCGAUCACGAAGGCAGCUUACCAAGCAACAACUGACGCUCAUGCACGAAGGCAUGGGGAUCAAACA
rnacentral:rRNA from 1 species